GAAUCAAAUUCAAGCUAACUGCCUCUGCCUGACUGCUUUUCUUUCAGGUAACUGCAGUAAUUCAUAAACAAGAUGAGUAGAUCCAAUUGAUAAGCUAUACCUGCAAAAUCAGAUUACUUGCAAUUCCAAAACAAGGUAUUAGCGCUGAUAGCAUCAAGCAGAGCAGAGGUCAGCAGUCGGACUCUACCAUCGACAUGCCUCUCAGGGCAUGAUGAUCCAUGGAAGUCAUAGUAGGAAGUAUCAUUUUAACAUAUUCCUUUUCCUUUUCUCCAUAAUUCCAAGAUCAAUUUUAAUGUGUCUAGGUUGAAUUACACCAAGUAACUAGUAAAUCUUUGAAAAGGAAAGUUUCUGGAGUGGGAAAUUACAGUGUGGUGUUGUUUGUCAAUGCCAUUGAGAUCUCUGUAGUAUUCUGUUUCCACAAAUUCUUCCCUCACUUGGCUUCCAUUGUAAACCAGUUUCUGCAACAGAGAGACAAGGGGAAGGGAUACAGAAGAAAUUAGACAAAGAUUAUAUGCAGUUGAGUCAUUAUUUUACAAUGAAAUAACUAAUUAUUGUUUAUUUCUA